rnacentral:lncRNA from 1 species
UUUAAAAAGUUUUGACAAAUGUAAUUCUAACAGUGAUCUUGUGAGAAAAGUGCUCAGAUUCUUACCAAGAUCAUGGGAGGCAAAGUCACUGCAAUCCAAGAGGCCAAGGAUUUGAAUACUCUACUAUUGGAGGAGCUACUUGAAUCCCUCAUGACUCAUGAACUGACCAUGAAGUAACACACUGAGAAGGAAACCAGAAGAAAGAGGACCAUAGCCCUUAAAUCGAUAGCUCAGGAAGAAGAAGAUUCAAAAAAAUCAGACAAUAGUGAAGAUAAGGACUUGCCCUAAUUAU